rnacentral:rRNA from 1 species
UACAGAGGUCUCAAGCGUUGUCCGGAUUCAUUGGGCGUAAAGAGCACGCAGGCGGUUUGGCAAGUCGGAUGUGAAAACCCGAAGCUCAACUUCGGGCCUGCAUCCGAAACUGCCCGACUAGAGGUAGGUAGGGGAGAUCGGAAUUCCUGGUGUAGCGGUGAAAUGCGCAGAUAUCAGGAGGAACACCGGUGGCGAAGGCAGCUCGCUGGGACGGUACUGACGCUGAGGCGCGAAAGCUAGGGGAGCAAACGGG